rnacentral:lncRNA from 1 species
UCAUUUUCAGUUCGCUACAUGGCAAAAGUAGUAAAGUAAUUGGCCUAAUAUUUACAUGAUGUGAUAUUUUGCUUGGUUUUAGCAAAGACAGAAAACAGUUCCUGUCUUGUUGGGAGGUAUGGUUUGUCGAAACUCUCAAUUAUUAUCUCUUUUCCGCACAAUGAAAAUACCAGAGAGUUCUUGGAACUUAGAUGAAGGCUUAAUGACUUUCUUGUAAAUAUUAAGAAGCAAAAACAUGUGAAUAAUUCAAGAUUGCACGCGAAUCAUAAGCGCCUAAACAAUCUAGACAUAAGAGACAAGACAUUCAUUCACUCUGGACCCCGUCAGUAUGGAUGGAACCUCUUGCUGCUUGCAGCAGCAGCUAAAUUCCCACAAUUUCUGCAGCUCCACCCUGCAGAUGGCAGGUUUACAAUUUCUUAGUAGAUUUGUUCAAUCAUGGAUAACAUACAGUGGUGCAUACUACAUACAUUGGUCUUCUAACCUUCAAGACUUGAGCAGUCCUUUCUGCAAAUUCACCAUGGCACUUGAAAUUUAAGGGUCCAAACUCAAAAGGGCUAAGGGCAAAACUCAAGUUUCAAAUGGUAAAUCAGUGAAGUUGACAUGAUCGUGGUUAGGUCCAAGACAUAUGGGACCAAUGAAAUGAUGACAAAACGUCAUGUUCCCUGUACCAGCAGUGAAGCAACUUGGCAAAGGAUGCAGUAAAUGUUCAGCAUUAUUAGGGGCCAUUGCUGCUCAUAGUUCAUGAAUCCACGCCAAAAUUAUUACCAUGCUGAUGGAGAAUUGCAUAAGGUGAUGGGGAUGUGGAUUGGGACUCAAAGCAUGCUUUGUCUAUUUGCACAUGUUCCUCCUUCCAAUCUUGACGGACUUCACAGCGACCAAAUAAUUGAAAAUACUUCCUUCACAGAAAUACUAGGUUACGAUGAGAAGUUGGUCCAAUGCUGGUCAUUCAUUGUUGCUCAUGCAACCAUCGAGGUGAUUGAUGAAGGAAAGAAAGGGUUUUCAACCCCCUUUUAAACUAACGUGAAAAUUUGUUGAGAAGUUUCUGAAUCUUCAGCUCCUCAAGUUUAGGAAGAUAGAAGUUUAAAGAAGUAAUGUAUGGGAGAAAAUCUCAAUGGUUGGUUGCAUUAUGAACAAAAGCCCUUGGUUAUUACCACUGUACAUUGGUCUCUUCUUGUGUGUUUCGGGGCAUGAGUUUUGUCAAAUUGGACCCUUAAAAUUUUGACAGAUGCUACUACAUUCAUCGAAAGAAAAUUAAAAAGUUUCACCCUUGUGAAAUCCUAUAGGAAUUGGAACAAGUUUGCCACUCCAAAUCUUAUGAGAACAACAAUGUUGAUCCAGAUCCUGAUUACGUUUCUACAACUCUUGAAUAUACACUAUUUUUUGUUCAUGAAAGUAACACAUUUGAUCAGAAUCCUUUCUUUCCGGAUAAAAGAAUGGCCAUUUGGCUUGUUCAUAUCGCUGACAAUGAAGCUAACAUAUGAAUAAACUGAGCUAGUAAACUCUCAACCUUUGAAGUUUUAAAAACUGACCGAGUCUAAAUUAUUAACACUUUUGCUGGAAAUGAGAGAAAAAUUUUCGAGGAUUUCCAGUACUCUUACAUUAGUAAUUUAUGUAGGGGUUAUCUCAAAAAAUUGAACAUCGGUCCCUCAUUGGCUUGUGUUUUUGAUCAUGCUGCUGAAGACUCAGAUUUGGAUGGAAAGUUGGGAAAAACUAACUUGGUCCAAAGGACGAUCAUUUUCCAGAGCUUUAAGAUGGUCCCAAGGGCUACAUAUUUAUUCAUCCACUUGCUAUCUACAUUCUACAUAUUUAUCAACUUGUAUUGACACACACCAUUCUCAAAUUCGAGCUCGGUCAAUCCAUUAUAAAUCUAUCUAUUAGGAUGAUUCAGGUCAUCUGUUAACAAGUCUUUAGCAACGUUUCAGUGCUUGAGUCAUGUUUUGCACUUUGACAAAUUCUGGUCAGACUACUGAAAUGUAGCAUUUAACUUCCAAUUCUUGGUCACCAUAUCAACGCUGGAAUUAGCAAAUACAGCAUUCAGCUUCGCCUAUCAAUUGGUCUACAACAAUUAUUCAAGAAGAGGAAGAAGAAACAUCAUAAUGUAAAAAAUUAAUAUGUAAAUUGUAACAAUCAAUCUACCUAAUAUUAACUAUGUUUUGGAAAUUAGGGAUGAUCAAAGUUUUUGUGGUCUUUCUGGCCAAGAUAAAAGAAGGGCUAAGUCAAUUUCAAUGCAUAUAUCUAUCUAUCACUAGACUUGCCUUAAUUGAUUCGAAUUUUUCAAGUUCUAAAUCAGUCGUAAAAUGCUAAGACUUGACGGGAGAGAAACCUGAGACUUGUAUUGUGCUGUGGCUAUCUCACAAUGAUUGAGGGAUUCUUCAAAAUCACGUCUGGUCACAUACUUAUAUGGGACAUUGAUCAUCUGGACCCUCCAAGAAGCAUUAAAGAAAACCAGGCUGCAGAAUUUUGGAUGGAAACUUGUAGCUUGAUUGGUUCUUGAUGAUUUUGAAUUGUCAACUAAUCUCGCCUCCUUUUCUCUCUUCUCUCUCUCUCUUUUAUUUAUUUAUUUUUUUUGGGGUCCUAUACUAUAAAGAAUUAUAACAUCCUACGACAUCCCACAAGGGACUUGAUAGUUUCACGCAACCUAUUUCUAUUGAGGGAACAACUAACUAAUUAACAAUCACUUAUGAAG